rnacentral:piRNA from 1 species
GAUUGGUUCUAGCAGUUGUCCUGGG